AGCCUGGAGUGCAUCCUAAGGACAGCGCCAGCCCCACAGACAUGCUCACCUGCCGGUGCCAAAACUACAACUACGGCAGGCCAUUCACCAUUCUUCUCAACCAGCUGCUUCUGGGGUUUUCUGUGUGUUUGCCUGGGCCUUUCUCAGAGGUAGCACUGAAGUCCUGAGCCCCAGGAACCCUCUCCGUCCCAGGCAAACCAGAUCGAUGGGUCACCCUAGAUGCCUUCCAAACCAGAGUCCCUCCCGGGGGCAGGGCCAGACCUUGGUGCCUUUGCCUGGGUGCCCUUGCCUAGGUGCCCUUGUGUGUGCCCUGUGUCUGGCCCAGCACGGCCCCCUGGGCAUGCAGGUGGAGCAGCAUGUCAGCCCUGCUGCUGGAUCUGUAGGGCCAGGAGGGCCCCUGGCUGGUGUGACCCUGAGGAGUGGCAGCCAUGACAUAUGUCAUUGCAGGACUCACAGAGUAGGGCAGUGUCCAUGCUGUGGGUUUUAUUGUCAUAUUCUGUGUCAAUGCGUUUUGCUAACUUGGGCAGCUGCUCUAAUAGGGGACAGUACAAAUGAACAUUGAAAAUUGAUUCACAGUCUUUUUAAGGCUUUUCCCUUGUAUCACCUUGCUGGAUGUCACCCUAACUCUGUGAGAUGGGCACAGAUGAGGCCAAGAGAGACGACAUGAUUUUCCCAAGGUCCUCAAGCCCUUUGGUGUUGGAACAGGUUCCACUCCAUUCUCCAUGCCUUAGUCCCAAGCGCCCUCCCCACCCUGUGUACCCAGAUGCCCUGGACACAGAGGCUGGUGGCUCUGGCCAGCCUUCCUGUUUCAACCAAGGGACCCAGCCAAGCCACUCCACUCCACUGAGCCUCUUGCUCUUCAUCCGUGGGCUGUAGAUGAGUCUGAAGGUCUUGGUGAGAUUUUUGCCAACUGUGAACAAUCAUGGAGUCAGGUGUAAAAGCAUCCUGGUUAGACAGAUGAUCUAUUCAUAGGACAUUGAGUCAUCUAUGUGCUCGCCCAGUAUCAUCUGGGAGCUUGGUAGACAUGCGGAGCCUCAGCUGACCCAGCCCGAACAAGGGGGGCCCACGGCAGUGUGAGAAGUGCUGGUGAGCACCCUUCCACGGGUGUGCUUGGUCGCCUUUGCUUAUGCUUAGUGAAUGAACCACUGCCUUCUCUUCCCUGUUGGAACCUUCUAAACACUUGUUUGGGUAUAGCUUGCGUAUUAAUUUGCUAGAGCUGCCAUAACUUUAGAAUCUAGGCUUUAGAAUCUUGGGGAUCUGGUUUAAACUUCCUGCUUGGCCCUCUAUCAGCUGUGUGACCUUGGGAACUUGACCUAGUCCAGGCUCUGGUUUAUUCCUUGAUAAAGAGGUGGUUGUUGUAGGGGAUUAACAAAAUGGUGUAAGUGACCUGACACACGGCAUGUUGUAGGAUUAAUAAGAUGGUGUAGUGACUGACACAUGGCAUGUUGUAGGAUUAAUAAGGUGGUGUAGUGACCGACCCAUGGCAUGUUGUAGGAUUAAGAAUAUGGUGUAGUGACUGACACACGGCACGUUGUAGGAUUAAUAAGAUGGUGUAGUGACUGACACACGGCACGUUGUAGGAUUAAUAAGGUGAUGCAGUGACUGACACAUAGCAGAAGCACUGAUACCAUUUGCCUUUUUUCCCGUUUGCUUCUCUGCAUGUUGUUUCGUCUGCAAAACUGCUGGGGUGCAAGAGGACCUGCAUGGGCCAGUCACAGCAGGAACCCACGGGACCCCUGAGUGGUCUGUGCAGCACAGGGAGGGGGUUUGUUCCAGAUUCACUGAGGGAAGGAGAAGGUGAGCACGGAGGACACUGAGCUCCUCAGAGACAUCUGCCUCCCGUUUCCAGGGACACCUCUGGAAUAUUCAGAGUUUCAGGUUUUAACUACAUCCUGGAUCUCUUGAUUUGAGCUAGAAAUUCCCUGCGCCACUUGAGGAGACUCACUGUACUGACUCCACGACUCAGAAAGUAACAUUGGAGAAAAUUGCUUCCUAAUCCUGGAGGGAUUUUGCAAAAGCAAGAGCAUCCUGCGGUCUGUGCCCCGCUGCGCUUCCCUGGGCCGUGCUCAAGGAGGCCUCUGGAAAGUGCGCAUCCCUGAGCAGGCCCACCAUGACAGCUUCAGUUCUGUGACCACCUCCAAGGACAAACAGCUUUAUUUUACGAGUCACUUAUCCUUGGAGAGGCUCCUUGCAAAUGGAGACGGGAGCAUCCAAACACAGCCUGGAUUGCCUGACCUCAUGGGGCACAGGCAGGUAGCAAUGAGGGUGAGGCUCAGUCAUGGCCUCCUGCCUCUGGCAAAGAUAAACAAAGACGGUCACUACUUAAAGGGCAGGAUGGAGUUUAUUCCGCAAUAACUACUGCAAUAGGCAGGAGGGCCCAGCGUGAACUAAACUCAACUUGGCCAAAACAGAAGGCUGGAGAUUUUUUAAAGGCUGGAGUGUGCAGGGGAAGGGCCUGGGCCACAUGGGUUUGUUAAUUGGCACUUAUCCAAGGAGAAAGGACCUUCUCAUAUCUUCAUAGCAGGCAGUGGUCCAAGUUCGAGCAAGGCGCCUGCCUGCCCACUCACCCACCAAAGUUGAGCCCCCAACCUCUGAGGAGAGUGGGCGUUAGCUCCCUGGAUGUUUCCAUUUCAAAAGGCUCCCAGGUCCUUGAGAAGACAGCUCUGGGUGGUAGAAGGUUUGCAUCUCAAACAGCAGAGAAAGGACUUGCAACUACAAGCUUUCCCAAGUACCUGCUGUAAGAUGGGGUUCAGGGCCCAUCUCCCAUCACCAAGUUUUGGCUCGAACAAACAGUCAAUUCUCCUGACAGUGUUGAGCUUUCUCAGGCAGGAAGCUGAGGGGACUGGACUUGUCAUCCUCGGGAUGCAGCUGUGAGCUGUUGGAAAUUAUGCUCGUGUUUGUUCAAGUCUCUUAGUGUGAGGGGAGAGGAUGGGAGGGAGAAUGGACAAAAUCGUUUGUGCUGAGAGUCAGCAGUUUCUUUAGGUCAAGGUUGAGGCCUAGUCGAGAAGAGCCAGAGAAGCCUGGCUAGAGUUUGUUCAAGGAGAAAGUCUUUGUCACCUCCUGCUGCUGCCAUACCUGUGGGCUUCUACCCUCUGGGGAUGCUGUCCCUGCUUCCUGGUGGUCUUCUGGGCCCCGUGAUUCCUGUCAAACCUUGUUACAACACAAAGGAGCCUAUGGGGUGAAGGGAGAGAUCAGAGACUGCUGUCCUGGGCACAGGCAUUAGAUGGGCCCCCUGAGAGUGUAGCCUGGGCCCCGAGGCUGGGUCACGAGUUGAAGAAACAGCACUUUCACCCUUUAUCUGCCCACCGCCUCAGCUUCCCAGGGCACACACGUGCCUUUCCAUACGACAUAAGGAGUCUGACUGCCCUGAGGCUGCCAUGCCGUGAGGAAGCCCAAGCGAAGCAUGUAGACAGGCAAUGUGGAAGACCACCAAGGUGCUAGAUAGGUGAGGGAAGCCUUCUAGAACCUUCUGGCCCAGCCUGGCAGCCAACUGAAUACAGUCAAAAAAGUGACCCCAGUCAGUGCUACAUGACUACGGCAGCUCACAGAAUUGUGAGAAAUAACAGAUCAUUGUUUGGGGUCAUGGAUUGUGCAACAAUAUGCAACAGAAGCAUUUGGGAUCUGGCAGGUAGUGUCCUUUGAGCCCCUGGGAAUGUGGAAAAGGUGACACAUCUCCAUGUCACUUUCCAGAGAAUGAUGUGAUCAAUGAAGACGAAGUGGCACUUCUCAAGGCCACACUCUGAUCUCGAUACUUCAUCAGCAACAAGCUAUUGAGGGAGAAGGAUGAGUGGGGGAAGAGGAGAUCGAGCAGGGAAAUGGAUGAGGGUUCCCUAGAGACUAGGGCUUUGGUCCUAGGGAAAGGACUGGAAGAAUAGCAGCGCAUUCUGUGUUGAAUUCGAGAGAACUCCGAGAUUCCCAGGAAGCUGGAGAGGUGUAAACACUGGAGCCUCAAGCCCAGAAUGACUCAGGGAAGACUGUCCCAGAAUGUCCCUGAGCAUCAUGUAUUCCUCCCUACUGACCCAGGGAUCCCCAUGCUGGACUAACCAAAAACUGCUGUCUCCGUUUGUGGCAAGUCUGGAAGACAAGCCAUUUGUAGGAGGAACUCAGUGUACAUGAAUUGUCCGUUCAUCAAAUGACCAGAUGGCCCAAGCCCCUUUGGAUAAAUGUGUACACUUGUCCGCUCACCACAAAUGCAAACUGCUUCUGAUCCUUCUUCUCCUGAGGAUGGAAAAGACAACAUUCCUGGAUGGGUGGCCAAUGCCACGCCCUGAACUGUGUUAAUCUGCUCUUCCCAAGAUACUGCAUCUGACACAACCACUGCAAUUGGGGCUCUACUUGAUAAAGGCUUCGUAAAGUCACUGUAUGAGUCUGCUCGGGCUGCCGUAACAGGAUGGCACAGACCCCUCGACUUAAACAACAGCAAUGUAUUUUCUCACAUUCUGAACACCGGAAGUCCAAGAUCAAGGUUAAAGAACUCAUGUGGGGGUUCUGCUGACUGCCAAGAAGCUCCAUCCCGAUGAUCCAUUCAAGAAGUGGAAAAUGACCAAGGGGGCCACAGUGAGCCAGACCUGGGACCUGAGCCCAUCUUCUCCUUCCCAACAGCGGGCUGUGGUGACCCCCUGUUCUCCAGUAUCAAUUUAGACCCUGCGUCCAGUCCUAGAAAGUUAUGAAUGGUCACUCAAGUAAAAGGCUGAGAUUUCCUUUGGGGAGGCCAAAAGGAGUCACUAGUGCAUGCACCUGCCAUGGGGUUGUGGGUCCUUCUACACAGAACUGACAUUUCCCUCUGUCUGGGUUCUGGGUCUGAUGACUGGCUCAGGGCCGGAAGCCAACCAAGGCCUCAUGAUUUGGCUGCUCUCAGCCUCCUGAUCAUCCAUCCUCAGUAUUAUUUAUCACACAAAUGAAGCAGUGCCCUUCUUGACUGCCCAUCCAGCCCGCCUCUGUGGAUGCUGUGUUCUAGGCAACCACCUCCUUGAUGUCUGCAUGCAGGGCCCCCAGCAGCAGCUCUGAUCUUGUCACACACUGAGAUAAUUGCCUUCACCUUGCUUCUGAUGAUUGAAC
ensembl:lncRNA